rnacentral:rRNA from 1 species
CUACGGAGGAUCCAAGCGUUAUCCGGAAUCAUUGGGUUUAAAGGGUCCGUAGGCGGUCUUAUAAGUCAGUGGUGAAAUCUCCCCGCUCAACGGGGAAACGGCCAUUGAUACUGUAGGACUUGAAUUAUUAGGAAGUAACUAGAAUAUGUAGUGUAGCGGUAAAAUGCUUAGAGAUUACAUGGAAUACCAAUUGCGAAGGCAGGUUACUACUAAUGGAUUGACGCUGAUGGACGAAAGCGUGGGUAGCGAACAGGAUUAGAUACCCUGGUAGUCCACGCCGUAAACGAUGGAUACUAGCUGUUGGAUGCAAACUCAGUGGCUAAGCGAAAGUGAUAAGUAUCCCACCUGGGGAGUACGUUCGCAAGAAUGAAACUCAAAUGAAUUGACGGGG